rnacentral:rRNA from 1 species
UACGAAGGGGGCUAGCGUUGUUCGGAUUUACUGGGCGUAAAGCGCACGUAGGCGGCUCGUUAAGUCGGGGGUGAAAUCCUGGGGCUCAACCCCAGAACUGCCUUCGAUACUGGCGAUCUCGAGUCCGGAAGAGGUGAGUGGAACUCCUAGUGUAGAGGUGGAAUUCGUAGAUAUUAGGAAGAACACCAGUGGCGAAGGCGGCUCACUGGCCCGAUACUGACGCUGAGGAGCGAAAGCGUGGGGAGCGAACAGG